UACGAGGGGGGCGAGCGUUGUUCGGAAUUAUUGGGCGUAAAGGGUGCGUAGGCGGUUUGGUAAGUCUUAUGUGAAAUCUAUGGGCUCAACUCAUAGUCUGCAUGAGAAACUGCCGGGCUUGAGUAUGGGAGAGGUGAGUGGAAUUCCUGGUGUAGCGGUGAAAUGCGUAGAUAUCAGGAGGAACACCUGUGGCGAAAGCGGCUCACUGGACCAUAACUGACGCUGAGACGCGAAAGCGUGGGGAGCGAACAGG
rnacentral:rRNA from 1 species